rnacentral:lncRNA from 1 species
UCAGAAGGAAAAAAGAAAAAGAUGAAGCAAGCUUUAGCAACUAUUUUCGUCGUGGGGAUCGCUUUUCUAAUUCUCACAUCAGGUAUAUUCUUUUGCUAAGAUAAUUCUCAUUUCUUAAUUAUUCGAACGCAAUAGUAAUUUCCAUGAACAAUUUAAAAAUGAUGAUAGCAUUUCUUAUGCAAGGUUUCCACAUUAAAUAUGCAAGAUUGUUUAUGUACUGCAAUAUAUUUAUUUGCAGAAAAAGGAAUAAUGCAUUCAGUUGAAGGGCAAGUAAAUGUUUGUGAAGAAUUAAUUCUUGGCGUUGCGUGUCGACCAGAAAAAGAUUCAGCGAAAUGCCUGACGGAGUGCUCUAAAAUAUCCAAAGGUCAUAGCAUCGUCAAUCAUUAUUGUUUAAUAGGGGAAAAUUCAAGUACUCCUAAUUACUGCUAUUGUCGAUGGAUAGCAGAUUUCUGUAGUUAAAAGAGUGUUAUACACUACUCUAGAAGCAGACUUUUGAAAAUGUAGUUCUUCUUCAACUGCUACUUUUGCUUAAUAAGAUAUAUAGCAACUGCUUUCUCUUCG